rnacentral:ncRNA from 2 species
CGUAUAGAUAGAGGUAGCAAUGUAAAUGAGUAAGACAUGGGAGAAGGCAUUCUAGGAUCAUGUUUGAAAGGUAAUCAUUGCCGAACAGUUAAAAUUGGCAAAUUUUAAUUGUGGGGAUGUGGGGAACACCUACAUCACUCCUACUUGCAAAAGUGGUGGUGCUAAAUAUGUU